rnacentral:lncRNA from 1 species
CCUGGGGCUUGGACCCAGGAAACGUCCCUGUCGGAGAGGUGAAGGGAGUGAGUCUGGGCUUUUGGGAGGCCAUUCCACCCUCAGCACCUGAAUUUGGGGAGCUUGGAGGACAGAGUUAGAAGAAACCACUCAGGACCCAUUUGGAAGAGUAUCACCUAGAACAUUUUCUAAAAUCCUCAAAACCCAAGACAAUAUUACCGGUGAAGCUGCCCUCAAGAAGUCC